UUGUUUUCGUGCGCGUAGGAGACGAGACGUACGAAUUAAAUCAGUCGAGGGAAGGAUAAACGUUAGAAAGGAAUUAAAGAGAAAACGAGAGUUUAUGUAAAAGAGAGUUAUAGAAUUUAUAGUGAUGUUUUGUUUUAAUUAGAAAAAUGUUGAGAGUUGUUUCAGAACGACACGUCAGUGGACGUGGCAGAAUGAACACGUGACGGGGAGGUGCUGAGACCUAGCGGAGAACGGAGGAACCGCAAGCGAGGGUUGGCGCACCUGAUGGAAUUCGGUGACGUCACGGGCUCAUACGGAGACGUGGACAGGCCGUGACCUUGUUUUGAUCAGCUGUACGGUAACUUAGCGAUAAGAAAAUAGACUAUUGGUUAAAUACAUUUAAAUUUAAGUGUGUUUUAGGAGAAGAGGAACUUUCAGUAUAUUCCUUAAGAUGAGCUGAGCAGCAGUCCAGUUUACAAGAUGACAAGAGUUCGAGAGACAAGAUACAAGAUCACUGAAACAAGAGCCAAGACUGAAGAUUCAAGAGAAGAGAAAGCUGGCAGCCAUGGACUUACAAGUGGAGAUUAAUAAGGUCAUGUAAAGUUUUAUUUUUUUUUAUGGAAGACAGUAACUGGAGUUUUUUUUUGUUAUAAACAUUAUUUACAGAACUUUUUAGGUUAUAGUAAUGUAAUGGAACUAGUGAGUUGUGGUAGCUGUCAAAAAGAACUAAUACCUUAAGUUUAAUUUUUAAAGUUAAUUUUCUUAAUUUACAGAGGGAUUAGUAGUUUUUUUUAAACCUUAUUUAGGUUGGAAUUUAAAUACAAUAGCUUAUUAUAAAUGUGUACGAACAGUUCAAGUUCACAGUACUGAUAGGUAGGUCAGAUGAUCUUAUUGAUUUUGAUGAUUUGUUGUUUUGAGUUGAUUUUUAAGUGUUGUGAAUUAGACAAUGAAAUAGUUCUGAAAACUUAAAUUAUUUCAAGCUAAGAAAUAGUAAAGUUAAUUGUAACUCAAAGGACACCAGAAUUUAAUUUUUUUUUGAAUUAGUAAUGUUUGAAAAUUUUAUACUUUACAAGAAAGGUUAUAAACAAACAGAUCGGAUGGAACAAGGAUGCAGUAAAUCACAAUUUCAUUUAGAAUUAUUGAUUAGCUUUUGAGGUUAUGAAGUAAAAGUAAUUAUAGUUUAAAAGUUUGAAUAAAAAAAAAUGUUUUUUUUUAUUUGUUUGAAAUAGAAAGUUUAAAAGUUAAUUAGUCAUGAUCUAGGUGGGUGAUGGGGUGGGAAUUGGCCACUCUUUUUCCCUAUAACCUCCCUAACAUGGCCUUCUAUUACAACUAACAGAAAUAAAGAAGAAGAAAAAUGAAGAAUUAUUAGUUAGAAUGUUUCUUUCAUGAAGAUACCUGAUGAACUUUUACUGUUUGGAAGAAUAGAAGCAAGGUUAGUCAGAUAUUUUUACUCAGAAGAAGAAGAAGAUAAAGCAGUUUUAUGACUCGACAAGCCAGAGAUUGGUGUUUCCCCUCUGCGCUUCUAUUGACUACGUUGUUUACUCUCAUGGGAUAGCUGGUUCGGCACCAUGGAGAGAGAUUGGUGGGCAUUGUGGUUGCCCCCAGAAGAAAAGAAGAGUAGAAGAGGUUAUGGGUGGGUCAUGUGAACUGACCUUCAACCCAGUUACUUCGUGGGGACUAUUUGCUGUAUAGAGAAGAUCAAGACACAAGAGUUAGGGAAAAUCAUUGGAGGUCAUGUUUCCCUUCCUUAAGUUUUUCCUAUCAAAUUAUUUGCCUGAUUAGAUUAUGCUAAGGGUGGGAUACUUUAUGUUAGCAGUUGAAUUAAUUAAUUUUAUUUUUUUGUGUGUUUGCAUCCUUGCCCAUCGAUUGCAGUUUAGUAGUUAGUUUUGUAUUUGUCAGGCGUGAUGGUAAUGCCUGUUGAUGAUGUUUCAGAAUUGUAAUCUGUUCGUGAUGAGGAUGGCACAACUCCGAAGCAGAUGUGGGGAGAAGUUGUGAGCUGCCCUGGAAGCCAGUCCAGUAGCUGUUGGAGUUGAGUGGUGUUUGCUGAUGGCCAGCCCAGGGAGCUACUCUUCUCGACAACACUGACUUCGAGGAGUUGCACCAACCUUCACGAGAUAAGAGUUUAAUUAAUUGAAACACUGUAAGGACACUUAAUUUUUUUUGAAGAACGAAAGAAGUAUGGUAAUAAACGGAAACCGAAAAAAAAAAAUAAUAAUAAUUAUCCAGAAUUUGCACAUUGUUUAACGAAUACUGAGAAACUAAGAACAGUAAUUUAAUUUGUAAAGAGAGCUUCACUAACAGAACAAUUUUUUUAGAAUUGAGAACUCGAGCCUCUGAAGGUUCCUGUGAGAACAAACCAGAUAAAAGUUUUACAUUUAAUUUUAUGAAUACUUGUUGUUUUAAAAUAAAUCUUAUGCAGAAUCUAGAUGUAUGUUCAGACAGCAAGGAACUAAGAAAAUUAUUAUUUUUGUGAAAUGAGGAAUUUAUAGUUAUGGUUUAAUGGAAAAAGACAAUUUGUAAUUUUGAGGUAGCUCGAUGGGGCUCGAGCUCUGUGAGGGGAGGGUUAUGUCGCGGGUUGAAAUUUUGCAGGGUUGUUGAAAUCAAAUUUAGGGACUUUACUGACGGGACUCUGGGCUGGCUGCUCUGUUCACUCGUCAGCGCAAGUGGCGUGACCAUGUAAUUGGGGCACGGGGCCGGCGCGGCGCGCUGCGGGCUUGCAGAAUUUUGUUUGUUUGUUUGGCCGCACGCUGGCGCAGCCACGGGCCGCAGUUACUGGGGCGCGCUGUCGUAACAAGCCGCGCGGUGUGGCCUGCACAUUGGGGUAGAGGGGGGGUAGUCUUCCCAGAUGUUCUAGUUAGUUGUUUAGUAAAUUUGACUUCAAUAACGAGCUUUUGUUAUGGUAGGCGCGGCAGGGCGCGCGAAUUUAAGCGCAAGUGAUUGGUGACUCGGGGCUCACUCAGGCGGAGGCUAUGCGUCUCACCUGUGGUCACGAGUUGUUAGUUCGUUCGUGAUGUAGGAAUUCAAGCUUUCGGGCGGAAGCUAUGGUCGACGCCAGAGGCCACGAGUCGUUUAAUUUAAGUUAGGUCAUAAUGUAGUCGUCAAGCUUUCGGGCGGAGGCUAUGGCCCUCGUCAGGGGUCACGCGUCAUAGUUUUUAAAAUGUAAUGUUCGUUCGGGAUUUCAAGGGCAGGAGAGGCCCCUACGUUAUUUUUUUAAAGUAAUCGAUCAAGAAAGGCUUUUCGGAAAAUGUGAGUAUGGACUUAUCUUUGUUUUAAUUUUAAGUAUUAAUUAUGAUUUGAGGUAUUCGGAAGGACUAGGGAAGUGUUUAGUGAAGUUCUCUCAUUCUCUCUCUUGUAAGGUCGUUCAAUCGUUAAGGAAGUAAAGAGAUUAUUGUUUUAAAUUGUAAUCCCGCUAUUUAAAUGUUCUUUAAAAUGAUGUUGAGUAUUUGACUUUAAGAAUAAAAUAAUUUUAAU